rnacentral:rRNA from 1 species
GAUGAACGCUGGCUACAGGCUUAACACAUGCAAGUCGAGGGGAAACGGCAUUGAGUGCUUGCACUGAAUGGACGUCGACCGGCGCACGGGUGAGUAACGCGUAUCCAACCUUCCCGUUACUGCGGGAUAACCUGCCGAAAGGCAGACUAAUACCGCAUGUUCUUCGAUGACGGCAUCAGAUUCAAAGCAAAGAUCCGUCGGUAACGGAGGGGGAUGCGUCUGAUUAGCUAGUUGGCGGGGCGACGGCCCACCAAGGCGACGAUCAGUAGGGGUUCUGAGAGGAAGGUCCCCCACAUUGGAACUGAGACACGGUCCAAACUCCUACGGGAGGCAGCAGUGAGGAAUAUUGGUCAAUGGGCGGAAGCCUGAACCAGCCAAGUAGCGUGCAGGAUGACGGCCCUACGGGUUGUAAACUGCUUUUAUGCGGGGAUAAAGUGAGGGACGCGUCCCUUUUUGCAGGUACCGCAUGAAUAAGGACCGGCUAAUUCCGUG